UACGUAGGUGGCAAGCGUUGUCCGGAAUUAUUGGGCGUAAAGAGCUCGUAGGCGGUUUGUCGCGUCUGCUGUGAAAACUCGGGGCUUAACCCUGGGCCUGCAGUGGGUACGGGCAGACUAGAGUGCGGUAGGGGAGACUGGAAUUCCUGGUGUAGCGGUGAAAUGCGCAGAUAUCAGGAGGAACACCGGUGGCGAAGGCGGGUCUCUGGGCCGUAACUGACGCUGAGGAGCGAAAGCGUGGGGAGCGAACAGG
rnacentral:rRNA from 1 species